rnacentral:tRNA from 1 species
CAGCUAAUAGUUUAUAUAAAAUUUAAUCUUUGGAAGCUUAAGAAGUAUGUUAAAUACUUUGCUGA